GACAGAGGGUGCAAGCGUUGUUCGGAAUUAUUGGGCGUAAAGGGCGCGUAGGCGGCCUGCUAAGUCGAACGUGAAAUCCCUGGGCUCAACCCAGGAACUGCGUCCGAUACUGGUUGGCUUGAAUCCGUGAGAGGGAUGUGGAAUUCCAGGUGUAGCGGUGAAAUGCGUAGAUAUCUGGAGGAACACCGGUGGCGAAGGCGACAUCCUGGACCGGCAUUGACGCUGAGGCGCGAAAGCCAGGGGAGCAAACGGG
rnacentral:rRNA from 1 species